AUAGGGCGUUUGAGUCGCAUGCUCUAGACCCGAAGCGGAGUGAUCUAGCCAUGGGCAGGCUGAAGCGUGGGUAAGACUACGUGGAGGGCCGAACCCACCAACGUUGAAAAGUUGGGGGAUGACCUGUGGUUAGGGGUGAAAGGCCAAUCAAACUCCGUGAUAGCUGGUUCUCCCCGAAAUGCAUUUAGGUGCAGCGUCGUGUGUUUCUUGCCGGAGGUAGAGCACUGGAUGGUCUAGGGGGCCCACAAGCUUACCGAAAUCAGCCAAACUCCGAAUGCCGGUAAGUGAGAGCGCGGCAGUGAGACUGCGGGGGAUAAGCUUCGUAGUCGAGAGGGAAACAGCCCAGAUCACCAGCUAAGGCCCCUAAGCGUGUGCUAAGUGGAAAAGGAUGUGGGGUCGCAUAGACAACCAGGAGGUUGGCUUAGAAGCAGCCACCCUUUAAAGAGUGCGUAAUAGCUCACUGGUCAAGUGGUUCCGCGCCGACAAUGUAGCGGGGCUCAAGCACACCGCCGAAGCUGUGGCACUCACACGAUACUUUGUGCCUCCUUGAUGGGGUAUGCAGGUGUGUGGGUGGGUAGGGGAGCGUCGUGCCGGGGGUGAAGCAGCGGGGUGACCUAGUUGUGGACGCGGCACGAGUGAGAAUGCAGGCAUGAGUAGCGAAAGAAGGGUGAGAAACCCUUCCGCCGGAUGACCAAGGGUUCCAGGGCCAGGCUAAUCCGCCCUGGGUGAGUCGGGACCUAAGGCGAGGCCGAGAGGCGUAGUCGAUGGACAACGGGUUGAUAUUCCCGUACCCGCGAAGGAGCGCCCGUGAUGAACCUCGUUGUGCUAACCAUCCAAACCAUCCAAGCCCUUCGGGUUGAGGGUGGGGAGCGUGGGAACCUGGCGGGUAGUAGUCAAGCGAGGGGGUGACGCAGGAAGGUAGCUGAUCCCGGCCGGUGGUUGUGCCGGGGUAAGCGUGUAGGCCGUGUUGUAGGCAAAUCCGCAACACAUGUGGCUGAGACGUGAUGCCGAGCCGAUUCAGGUGAAGUCAGUGAUCCUAUGCUGCCGAGAAAAGCCUCUAGCGAGUUCUGAGCGGCCCGUACCCCAAACCGACACAGGUGGUCAGGUAGAGAAUACCGAGGCGAUCGGGCGAACUGUGGUUAAGGAACUCGGCAAAUUGCCCCCGUAACUUAGGGAGAAGGGGGGCCGGAGACGUGAAGCCCCUUGCGGGUGGAGCGUUGUAUGGCCGCAGAGAGCAGGGGGAAGCGACUGUUUACUAAAAACACAGGUCCAUGCGAAGAAGUAAUUCGAUGUAUAUGGACUGACGCCUGCCCGGUGCUGGAACGUUAAGGGGACCUGUUAGCUCUUCGGGGCGAAGCGGAGAACUUAAGCGCCAGUAAACGGCGGUGGUAACUAUAACCAUCCUAAGGUAGCGAAAUUCCUUGUCGGGUAAGUUCCGACCUGCACGAAUGGCGUAACGACUUCCCCACUGUCUCAACCACAGGCCCGGCGAAAUUGCAUUACGAGUAAAGAUGCUCGUUACGCGCGGCAGGACGGAAAGACCCCGGGACCUUUACUAUAGCUUGACAUUGGUACUUGAGUUAGCUUGUGUAGGAUAGGUGGGAGCCGGUGAAGUCCAUACGCCAGUAUGGGUGGAGGCAAUCUUGAAAUACCACUCUGGUUGAUUCGGGUAUCUAACUUCGGGCCGUUAUCCGGUUCAGGGACAGUGUCUGGUGGGUAGUUUAACUGGGGCGGUUGCCUCCUAAAGGGUAACGGAGGCGCCCAAAGGUUCCCUCAGCCUGGUUGGCAAUCAGGUGUUGAGUGCAAGUGCACAAGGGGGCUUGACUGUGAGACUGACAGGUCGAGCAGGGACGAAAGUCGGGACUAGUGAUCCGGCACUUGCGUGUGGAAGCGGUGUCGCUCAACGGAUAAAAGGUACCCCGGGGAUAACAGGCUGAUCUUCCCCAAGAGUCCAUAUCGACGGGAUGGUUUGGCACCUCGAUGUCGGCUCGUCGCAUCCUGGGGCUGUAGCAGGUCCCAAGGGUUGGGCUGUUCGCCCAUUAAAGCGGUACGCGAGCUGGGUUUAGAACGUCGUGAGACAGUUCGGUCCCUAUCCGCCGUGCGCGUAGGAUACUUGAGAAGGGCUGUCCCUAGUACGAGAGGACCGGGACGGACGAACCUCUGGUGUGCCAGUUGUCCCGCCAGGGGCACGGCUGGUUGGCUACGUUCGGAAGGGAUAACCGCUGAAAGCAUCUAAGCGGGAAGCCUGCUUCAAGAUGAGGUAUCCCACCCACCUUUGGUGGGGUAAGGCCCCCAGCUAGACGACUGGGUUGAUAGGCCGGAGAUGUAAGCUCGGUAACGGGUUGAGUUGACCGGUACUAAUAGGCCGAGGACUUGACUACAA
rnacentral:rRNA from 1 species